rnacentral:tRNA from 1 species
GGGGUCAUAGCUCAAUUGGUAGAGCGCAACACUGGCAGUGUUGAGGUCGACGGUUCGAUUCCGUUUGACUCCACCA